UACGUAGGGGGCAAGCGUUAUCCGGAUUUAUUGGGCGUAAAGAGCUCGUAGGCGGCCGUUCGCGUCGGAUGUGAAAGCUCAGGGCUCAACCCUGAGACGCCAUUCGAUACGGGACGGCUAGAGGUAGGUAGGGGAAAGUGGAAUUCCUGGUGUAGCGGUGAAAUGCGCAGAUAUCAGGAGGAACACCGGUGGCGAAGGCGGCCUUCUGGGACGGUACUGACGCUGAGACGCGAAAGCGUGGGGAGCGAACAGG
rnacentral:rRNA from 1 species